GUGUCAGCAGCCGCGCUAAAACCCAGGGGGCUCUCGUUGUCCGGAAUUACUGGGCGUAAAGGGCACGCAGGCGGUACGCCAAGUCGGGGGUGUAAAGUUACGGCUCAACCGUGACCUUGCAAUCGAUACUGGCGUACUGGAGUGCGGGAGAGGGAAGUGGAAUUCCCGGUGUAGCGGUGAAAUGCGUAGAUAUCGGGAGGAACGCCAGUGGCGAAGGCGGCUUCCUGGCCCGCGACUGACGCUCAUGUGCGAAAGCCAGGGGAGCGAACCGGAUUAGAUACCCGGGUAGUCCUGGCCGUAAACGAUGGGUGCUAGGUGUAGGCGCGUCAAGCGUCUGUGCCGCAGUUAACGCGAUAAGCACCUCGCCUGGGGAGUACGGUCGCAAGGCUGAAACUUAAAUAAAUUGACGG
rnacentral:rRNA from 1 species